rnacentral:lncRNA from 1 species
UGUUUGUACCGUCUGAUCUGAUCGUGUGGAUGGGACCCCACUGUACAGGGCGGUACGCUCUGCUCUCUCGCGGUACGGGGAAUCAGCAGGGGUCGCAUGUUGCUGUUCCCUAGAAACCUCGUUGACAGCCAUCAUUCUGCCACAGAGAGGGAGGCAUGAGAGUGGGUACGCCCGUACGUCUUGACCUCGGUGUCAGGCAGCCACUUGCUUCUGAAAAC